GACGAACGCUGGCGGCGUGCUUAACACAUGCAAGUCGAACGGAAAGGCCCUGCUUUUGUGGGGUGCUCGAGUGGCGAACGGGUGAGUAACACGUGAGUAACCUGCCCUUGACUUUGGGAUAACUUCAGGAAACUGGGGCUAAUACCGGAUAGGAGCUCCUGCUGCAUGGUGGGGGUUGGAAAGUUUCGGCGGUUGGGGAUGGACUCGCGGCUUAUCAGCUUGUUGGUGGGGUAGUGGCUUACCAAGGCUUUGACGGGUAGCCGGCCUGAGAGGGUGACAGGCCACAUUGGGACUGAGAUACGGCCCCGACUCCUACGGGAGGCAGCAGUGGGGAAUCUUGCACAAUGGGCGGAAGCCUGAUGCAGCAACGCCGCGUGCGGGAUGACGGCCUUCGGGUUGUAAACCGCUUUCGCCUGUGACGAAGCGUGAGUGACGGUAAUGGGUAAAGAAGCACCGGCUAACUACGUG
rnacentral:rRNA from 1 species